UGGAGCUUCAGAUGGUCAUACAGGACCUCAUUGUCCAACAGUAUUUCCUGCUGAUUGGGCCAGAGAUGAUACUCCUACAAAACAGUGUGAUAUUAAAGGUGCUACAUCAAUUGUCCCGGGUCAUAUCUGAUAAGAUGAGGGAGCCUUUCAAAGAGUUUGUUUGGUGCAACUUCUUCCUUUGUGCUAUCAAGUUUUUGACGCAGCCAUCUUUGCAACUUGAAAAGUUCACCCAGAGUAAGAGAACCAAGAUUUGAGUCGCUAUCGCGAUAUGCGUAGAGAAACGGCUGCUGAAAUCAGAAGUCUUUGGUUUAGUUUAGGUCAACACAAGAUUAGGUUUGUAGCACCAAGUGGCAGUGGACAAUCUAUGGUUGGACCAUUUUUGGAAAUGACAAUGAUAACCAGAAGUUGAGCUAAGAAAGGCAACCAUUCCAAUAUUCUUUGAUAUGAUGCAAUGUGAGUUUUAUUCACUUCGUGAUCAAGGGAAUAAUGUGCCCCCAGAUAUGGCACGCCAAUAAUCAGAAGAACAAGGGGAAAUUC